AAAAAAAAAACAUACCUCUCUCUUUACGACAAAACAUUUUAAAAAAAAAAAAUCCCCAAAUCUAAACCUAUAUCGUCUCUUCGACUCUCCCAUCGAUUCCACCGUGAAGUCUUCACCGCGAUCAAAUCGGUUGCUCCCAGCUCAAGACUGAAGACGCCAAUGGAUAUAACACAAUCGGGACAAGGAUCAAGACCGAGAUCGGCACUGAGAAAGGGACCGAGACAGGAAAGAGAGAAAGAAAGACAGAGAGCGAGAGCGUGACCAUCGUAAAGGAGCGAGAGGAGGAGGCUAAGGCUAGGAAGAAGGCAAGGAUUGAGAAAUUAGUUGAGAGAGAGAGGGAGAAGGAACUCAACACCAUUAAAGACCUGUAUCUCGGAGGUAAACAUUCAGAAUUGGUCCUUGUUGCGCUUUGUCGAUUUGACUUUAACGAGAAGGAGGUAAACAGUUCAUAAUUGGGUCCUUGUUUAAGUUUUCUUAAAUUGGGUUCAUAUGUAGGAGCAACAAUCCUUGAACAUCUCAUGAAAUUUGAGGAGUUGAAGUGAAUCCAAGGAAAUGUUUUACUCGCAUGGCUAUCGAAGCAACAUGAAACAGAAGACUUCACCAUUCCCAGAGGCGGUGGUAGAGGAGGGAAAGGCUAUGGUAGUGGUGGGGGAGACAGAAGAAGAGAUAAAUGUGGUUCAGGGCCAGAAAGAAACCACCAUGGGGGAAACCGGUCUCCUCCAUAUUUAGAGAAAGAGAAAUCAAUGAAUCAGCUGUUAUGUGUUCUAAGAUUUUUUGUGCUAACUCACUCGCCGAGGCUAUAUUUACUGAAGGUUUCUCUGGAGGAUGUGUACCUUGGAACAAUGAAGAAGCUUGAACUCACUCAAGAUCCUGUACUUGUCAAGUUUGUCUCUAUUCUUUGUGAUGUUAGUUUUAUUUUGUUUAAGACUUGGUGGCACUUUGUUAUGUAAGAUUUUUUUGAUUAAUGUAAUUUUAAGGUUAUGUACUGUA